AGCACACAUGAAGGUUUACUACGCCAAGAUUAGGCACAUGGAUCAGGCCCAUUCGUCUAGGGCCAACUCUCAGUAUUACCCUUCAAAUUCCUAAUCAAAAUCCCUAACAAACAGCAAACGUUUUAAAAACUGUAACUUCAAAAAUUACGAUGUGAUCUCUACCAAUUUCUUCGCUCUGUUCACAAUCAUCAGCUUUUGGCGCAAUUGAAGAUUGAUUAAGGUAUUGUGCUUAAUUUCACGGGAAGCAAGCGGAUACAAGUCACUCUUGACUCUUACCGUUGUGUGGAUUUAAAGCUAGACUGGCCUUUGCUCAUGUUGCUACUGCAGUGAUCCGAACACUUUAUAUAUCUAUGUUGCAGUUAAUGAGAAGAGGGUAUGAAUUACUAUCUCAAUGCAUGAUGAUGAUUAAAAGGCUAACUGGUCUUUACUCAAAGUGAUCAAAGAUCUCAUUCACAUCCGUUGCUGAUAACUUUCUCCACCACUACUAGAGGCUGACUGAGGUCCCAAAUGGAAGGAGCAGUAUGUCUCCUUGAAGGAUGAAAUGACGAACACAGCGAUGAAGACCGCAGGAAAAGACGAAGAAUAGGUUUUGGGUGCCUGGCGGUCGACCGCGAGUGGCAUGGCGGACGACCGCAAAUAUGCACGAAACAGGGAAAAGUCUCUGGACUUUUCGCGGUCUAUCGCGUCGACUAGCGCGGCGGUCGACCGCGAAACCCUGUAGGAUUAUUUUGGGUUCUGUCGUUUUCUGCAGUCGACCGCGAUGGGUUCGACGGUCGACCGCGAGUCGGGUCAGGCCCAGUUUAGGUUUUUCUGUUCUGUUUGAGUUUUUGUUUUGAUAUAAAUAGGAACUCGAUUUUGAGGGUUUGGUAGGUUUGUUGUGGGGUUAUUUGGAGCACAAAAAAGAGAUAUUUUUUGAGCGAUUAGUUAGGGUUUUGUUUGGAGAGAAUUAGAGAUUUGUUGGUGAGAUUAGUUGGUUGGUUUGA